rnacentral:tRNA from 1 species
GUUGUUAGCGCGUCUGCCUUGUAAGCACUAGGUCGCGGGUUCAAUUCCUGCCCGAGCCG